UUAGCAUUCACAUACAUUAGCCAAAAACGGUUCAUUGAGCCUUCAUCCUCAUCCUCUGACAAGUCUAAUAAUGCGGUCUCAUCUUCACAUUCACUACCACUCUCUUACUGAGGUCAAUUAAAUGUCACAUUCAACUUGUAAAUCUUUCCGUGACACAAUAAAUUACCAUUACCAGAAUUGUGUUUUUAACAUGCACGUGAACCGUUUGAUUAAAUGUCCAGACAUGUUCAUUUUCCUCAGCGACGCUAAUAUAGAAUGAUGGGAUCCAAUUGACCCCCGAAAGGAAACGUCCAGAUCAGACAUUAUAUAGCGGCCGGGCGACAUAUAUUAAUCAGCUUCAUCUCUGGGACAAGUCCUC